GUUGCUGAAUAUAUCUGACCGUUUCUUUAACAUCAACAGCCAAUAUAAAUCCCCCACCUUUAAUAAAAUGUGCAUAUACGGUGUCUAUACAACGGGAUUUUUAUCAAUAAAACACCGUGUUUUGUUAGCAAUAGUACGCACUGUUUAAAAUGAAGGUCGUUGUUCUGCUACUUUUAGUGUGUCUCUCCAAUUUUAUUAAUGUAACAGAAAGCUGUUGUAAAGAAAGUGGUGAAAAAUGUUAUGCAGACUGGCAAUGUUGCGAACACACAUUUUGCUUAAUACAUCAAGAUUCAGCACUUUCACAAUGCUAUCGUCAAACUAACAAGUAAAGUAUGUUAGAGAGAACCGAACUAUCAAACCACUGUUCGUGUUUUUUGUGUUUGAUCAUUUGAUUAAAAACACAUUUUAAAUGAA